rnacentral:rRNA from 1 species
AUUUAACUCUGGCGGCAGGCCUAACACAUGCAAGUCGAGCGGAUGAGGGGAGCUUGCUCCCUGAUUUAGCGGCGGACGGGUGAGUAAUGCCUAUGAAUCUGCCUGGUAGUGGGUGAUAACUUUCCGAAAGGAACGCUAAUACCGCAUACGUCCUACGUGAGAAAGCAGGGGACCUUCGGGCCUUGCGCUAUCAGAUGAGCCUAGGUCUGAUUAGCUAGUUGGUGAGGUAAUGGCUCACCAAGGCGACGAUCCGUAACUGGUCUGAGAGGAUGAUCAGUCACACUGGAACUGAGACACGGUCCAGACUCCUACGGGAGGCAGCAGUGGGGAAUAUUGGACAAUGGGCGAAAGCCUGAUCCAGCCAUGCCGCGUGUGUGAAGAAGGUCUUCGGAUUGUAAAGCACUUUAAGUUGGGAGGAAGGGCUGCUGGUUAAUACCCUGCAGUUUUGACGUUACCAAAAGAAUAAGCACCGGCUAACUUCGUG